GAAGCUGGUAGAGCAAACGACUGAAAAUCGUUGGGUCGCCGGUUCAAGUCCGGCC
rnacentral:tRNA from 1 species